AUUGAACGCUGGCGGCAGGCCUAACACAUGCAAGUCGAGCGGCAGCGGGAAAGUAGCUUGCUACUUUUGCCGGCGAGCGGCGGACGGGUGAGUAAUGCCUGGGGAUCUGCCCAGUCGAGGGGGAUAACAGUUGGAAACGACUGCUAAUACCGCAUACGCCCUACGGGGGAAAGGAGGGGACCUUCGGGCCUUUCGCGAUUGGAUGAACCCAGGUGGGAUUAGCUAGUUGGUGGGGUAAUGGCUCACCAAGGCGACGAUCCCUAGCUGGUCUGAGAGGAUGAUCAGCCACACUGGAACUGGGACACGGUCCAGACUGCUACGGGAGGCAGCAGUGGGGAAUAUUGCACAAUGGGGGAAACCCUGAUGCAGCCAUGCCGCGUGUGUGAAGAAGGCCUUCGGGUUGUAAAGCACUUUCAGCGAGGAGGAAAGGUUGUUGGCUAAUACCCAGCAACUGUGACGUUACUCGCAGAAGAAGCACCGGCUAACUCCGUGCCAGCAGCCGCGGUAACAC
rnacentral:rRNA from 1 species